rnacentral:rRNA from 1 species
CCUACGGGGAGCAGCAGUGGGGAAUAUUGGGCAAUGGGCGCAAGCCUGACCCAGCAACGCCGCGUGAAGGAAGAAGGCUUUCGGGUUGUAAACUUCUUUUGUCAGGGACGAAGCAAGUGACGGUACCUGACGAAUAAGCCACGGCUAACCACGUGCCAACAGCCGCGGUAAUACGUGGGGGGCAAGAGUUAUCCGGAUUUACUGGGUGUAAAGGGCGUGUAGGGGGGGAAGCAAGUCAGAUGUGAAAACCAGGGGCUCAACCUGGGGCCUGCAUUGGAAACUGUUUUUCUUGAGUGCUGGAGAGGCAGUCGGAAUUCCGUGUGUAGCGGUGAAAUGCGUAGAUAUACGGAGGAACACCAGUGGCGAAGGCGGAUUGCUGGACAGUAACUGACGCUGAGGCGCGAAAGCGUGGGGAGCAAACAGGAUUAGAUACCCUUGUAGUC